rnacentral:rRNA from 1 species
UACAGAGGUCUCAAGCGUUGUUCGGAUUCAUUGGGCGUAAAGGGUGCGUAGGCGGCGCGGUAAGUCGGGUGUGAAAUCUUGGAGCUUAACUCCGAAACUGCAUUCGAUACUGCCGUGCUCGAGGACUGGAGAGGAGACUGGAAUUUACGGUGUAGCGGUGAAAUGCGUAGAUAUCGUAAGGAAGACCAGUGGCGAAGGCGGGUCUCUGGACAGUUCCUGACGCUGAGGCACGUAGGUCAGGGGAGCAAACGGG